rnacentral:rRNA from 1 species
GUAACGUCAAGACUCACGGUUAUUAACCGUAGGCUUUUCUUCUCUACUGAAAGUGCUUUACAACCCGCAGGCCUUCUUCACACACGCGGCAUUGCUGGAUCAGGCUUGCGCCCAUUGUCCAAUAUUCCCC